CAUCUAAAUCAGAUAAUUGAAGUCAAUCAGAUUAAUUUAUCUCCCUGAUGGGAGCUCUCGGAGCUCUCUGUGGUACACACCCCCUACAUUCGAACAGCAGCAAGCGUCGUGCAUGCUUAUAGCUGCUUUUGGAAUCUUACAUAUCUUUAGCGUUUUAGAAACCUAAAUGUAUUCAACCUACCCUUAAAUUUAUCUUUCGAGGAAGUUUUGUUGAUUAUUCUCUUCUUUGAUUCUGUCCAUAUUGUGUCAUACGUGCAGAAGACUAGGAGUAUAUUCUUCCUUUCUGCUUCCAUUUUGACACUGAUGCUGUUGGCACUUUUCUAUAUCUUCAUCUAUAUGCACCGGAGGGGAAUGAAAGGGGGAACAGUGGAGCUGAAGCGCAUCUCAAAAAGUGUGCAGAAGAAAAAGCCCUCUUAGUAGGUCAAGUUUUUCCAUAUGAACACCAAGAUUCCAGAUGUACUUUAUACAAUCACAGAAAGCUUUACUUUUUGUUCUUAACAGAAAUGGAGUUACUAAUACCUCGAGGGAUAAUCCCAUUUUUAUCAA